rnacentral:rRNA from 1 species
GGAGGAAUAUUGGUCAAUGGGGGAAACCCCGAACCAGCAACGCCGCGUGCGGGAUGAAGGCCUUCGGGUCGUAAACCUCUUUUAAGGGAGACGAGAAAGGACGGUAUCCCUGGAAUAAGUCACGGCUAACUACGUGCCAGCAGCCGCGGUAAUACGUAGGUGACGAGCGUUAUCCGGAUUUACUGGGCGUAAAGCGCUUGUAGGUGGCUUUGUAAGUUGGGCGUGAAAACUCUGGGCUUAACCCAGAGACGCCGUCCAAUACUGCGAGGCUCGAGGAUGUCAGAGGAAGGUGGAAUUCCUGGUGUAGUGGUGAAAUGCGUAGAUAUCAGGAGGAACACCCGUGGCGAAGGCGGCCUUCUGGGGCAUUCCUGACACUGAGAAGCGAAAGCUAGGGGAGCAAACAGGAUUAGAAACCCUGGUAGUCCUAGCUGUAAACGAUGGAUGCUAGGUGUUGGCGGAUUUAACCCUGCCAGUGCCGAAGCUAACGCGUUAAGCAUCCCGCCUGGGAAGUACGAUCGCAAGAUUAA